CGCACCUUCGGGUGAGUGGCGGACGGGUGAGUAACGCGUGGGAACGUGCCCAAAGGUACGGAACAACUGAGGGAAACUUCAGCUAAUACCGUAUGUGCCCUUAGGGGGAAAGAUUUAUCGCCUUUGGAGCGGCCCGCGUUGGAUUAGCUAGUUGGUGGGGUAAAGGCCUACCAAGGCUACGAUCCAUAGCUGGUCUGAGAGGAUGAUCAGCCACACUGGGACUGAGACACGGCCCAG
rnacentral:rRNA from 1 species